UAUCUGAUCUGAUGGGGCCUGUGUAUCAUCUCUCUUUUCCCCUUGUCAAAGAGGGCUGGGCAACAAAAAUGUCGCAUCACGUGCACCACACGAGUUCAUUACAGAUAAAUUGAAAUUGAAACCCCUCAAUUUUCUGCCACACUUGGUACAUUAUACUCUCUCCCUCUCUCGAUCCAGAUUCUCUUAAAGUGCAAGGGUUUGUUUGGUGUUUAUUUUUGGAAAAAAAGUAAAGCAUUUGUGCAAUUUGCCGAUAUGAAACUCACCGUGAAAACCCUCAAAGGAAGCCAUUUCCAGAUUAGGGUUCAGCCCAAUGACACCGUUAGUUACUCUCUUUUUCUCUCUAUAUGUGUGUAUUUUGUUAAAUUGUGUGAAUGUGAAAGUUUUGAAUUUUUUUUACUCUUAUGUAAUUCAGUACGAUUUAUUUUUUUUUAAAAGAAAAAAUUUGUGUAUGCAUCUGGAUGAUAAUGUUUUAGACAAACUAAUGUAAUUUUGGUUUUUUAAUUUCUUUGAAUUUUAUAAGAUUUUGUGCUGGGGCUAUUGCAUUGAUUCGUGGGUAAGAAUUUAAUUUGACAGCGGUCGCACGCCAUUAAAGAAUCAAGUCGGAUUACCUUUGGUAUUCAUAGUAGUUCUUCUUUGUGUGCCCUCUUUUUCUUGUAGAAGAAGCAACUUUAUAGGAAGAAAUUGAAUUGAGAUCUCUUGUUUGUCAUGUACCAGUUUUCCUGUGUGUUACCAUAUGUUUGCUUUUGACUUUUGCGUAGUUUAGUUUCUCUUUCACCGAAACAAACGUGUUUAUAAAAUAUAUUGACCAAUUUCUUAUGUGUCAUGCAAUAAAUUUUGGAAGGUCCUUAUUCCCUCGGGAGAGAGUUUAAAAUAAAGUUGCUAAGAAUGAAAUAGGAACCUCGGACUUUAUGGAAUUGAAUUGAGAAGCUAUUUUCCUCAUUUUUCAUAAUCUGCUCACACUUAGUCAUGUUUUGUCCUCAUUUUCUAAAACUUGUUUUUCCUUAACUUAUAUUCAACCACACAUUUUAUGGGCCCACAACUUUUAAUCAACUUUUAUCGAAAUCUACUAAAAAUUGAAUUUUUAUCUAAACUAAACAAGGGCGUAGAAUAAUCCAAAAUUUGCCUAGAGAUUCAAGUGUAGUGGCCAGUGCUUUAUCAGAAGCAAUAAAUCAAUCUUUAGAUGCCUUCAUAAAUGUUAUGCCAUCGAGCAAUGAUGUGAUCCUUUAUGCCUUUACUGACACUAAAUUUUUUAAGUAAUUAUGUCACCCCUACAACCCAUAUUCUACUUUCUCACUCAUGCUCUUGAAUUUGAGGGGACGGGUAGCUCGUCCAUAAAAAUGAGAAAUCAAAUUUUUUUGGCUUGUUACUUUUGAGAAACAACGAGCUUUGACUGACGUUUUUCUAAUGCCUUUUUUUGUCGAUAAAACAGCACAAUGUAUGCCCUUAUUUAUUGGCUAGACUAGGGAUCAGAUCUUUAUAAUUUCCUUAAUUUCUGUCUCCUGUUAAGGAAGCAGCACAAUCUCAUAUAGGCUUAUCAACUAGUUAAUUAGAUGAGUGCGUGCAUUAUUGUUGUCAUUGUAAGUUAAAGUUAAUUGUUCAUUUAUACUUAGUUUCUUAAAAAUAGAUGCAGGUGCACCAAAUUAAGUUAGCCAUGCAUAACAUUCUUAUGAUAUAAAGUUAUUUAACCUCGUAAAUUGUAAUCUAAGAAGUCUGAGCAAUAUAGUGUAUAAUUUAGGAGACCACAAAAGUGUAAUUAUUUCAGAAGUAGGAUUUAGAAUCAAAACUGUAUAUUUUGUUAAAUUUCUGAUUUUUGUGAUUAAAGAUUUGGAUUUGUAGAUGUAAUAAUAAUUUUGUAAAAUUGCAUAUGACUUUCUAGAUUAUUUAAACUCGUUUUGAUACAUCUGUGUGUUGAUUGAUUUGUGAUUGGGUUUUUAUUGUACAAGAUUAUGGCGGUCAAGAAGAAUAUCGAGGAUGUACAAGGCAAAGACAAUUAUCCAUGUGGUCAGCAAUUGUUGAUCCAUAAUGGGAAAGUACUAAAAGAUGAAAGUACGUUGGCUGAAAACAAAGUCUCUGAAGAUGGGUUUCUAGUAGUAAUGCUAAGCAAGGUAAGAGCCUGGUCAUCCUUUUGAAUCUUAGACUGCAUUGUUCCAUGCGUUUUCAUAGUUCAAAGAUUCGUGUUAUUCUUU
rnacentral:lncRNA from 1 species